rnacentral:rRNA from 1 species
GUAGCGAGAAUUAUGUGGGAAUCAUAAUGGCCGAAAAUCUAAGGUUUCCUGGGGAAGGUUCGUCCGCCCAGGGUAAGCCGGGAGCUAAGGCGAGGCCGCAAGGCGUAGUCGAUGCACAUACGGUAGAAAUUCCGUAGCCGGUACAAUUGUUAAUCACGGUGACACAUGAGUGUAGCUCUACCGGGCGUUGGUAGCCCCGGGCGUAAGCGAGCCGAAUGAGGCGAAGUGAGUAAAGCUUGUGGCGAGAAAAGCCGUGAGGAUUGGUUGUACUGCCCGUACCGCAAACCGACACAGGUAGAUGAGGAGAAGAUCCUAAGGCCAACGGGAGAAGGGUUGUUAAGGAACUAGGCAAAUUGACCCCGUAACUUCGGAAUAAGGGGUGCCUGCGAAAGCAGGCCGCAGAGAAUCGGCCCAAGCAACUGUUUACCAAAAACACAGGUCUCUGCUAAAUCGAAAGAUGACGUAUAGGGGCUGACGCCUGCCCGGUGCUGGAAGGUUAAGAGGAGGACUUAGGGGAAACCCGAAGGUUUGAAUUGAAGCCCCAGUAAACGGCGGCCGUAACUAUAACGGUCCUAAGGUAGCGAAAUUCCUUGUCAGGUAAGUUCUGACCCGCACGAAAGGCGUAAUGAUUUGGGCACUGUCUCAACAGCCCGCCCGGCGAAAUUGUAGUACCGGUGAAGAUGCCGGUUACCCGCAACUAGACGGAAAGACCCCAUGGAGCUUUACUGCAGCUUAAUACUGAGAUUCGGUAAAUCAUGUACAGGAUAGGUGGGAGACUGGGAAAUUCAGCCGUCAGGUUGAAUGGAGUCGCUGUUGGGAUACCACCCUUGGUUUGCUGGAUUUCUAACCUGCUGCCCUGAAUCGGGUAGGGGGACACUGUUAGGCGGGCAGUUUGACUGGGGCGGUCGCCUCCUAAAAUGUAACGGAGGCGCUCAAAGGUUGGCUCAGCAUGGAUGGAAACCAUGCAAUGAGUGUAAACGUAUAAGCCAGCCUGACUGCGAGACCGACGGGUCGAGCAGAGACGAAAGUCGGAGUUAGUGAUCCGGUGGUAUGUGAGUGGAAAUGCCAUCGCUCAACGGAUAAAAGCUACCCUGGGGAUAACAGGCUGAUCUCCCCCAAGCGUCCACAGCGACGGGGAGGUUUGGCACCUCGAUGUCGGCUCGUCGCAUCCUGGGGCUG